rnacentral:rRNA from 1 species
AACGAACGCUGGCGGCAGGCCUAACACAUGCAAGUCGAACGCCCUGGCAACAGGGUGUGGCAGACGGGUGAGUAACGCGUGGGAACGUGCCCUUCGGUUCGGAAUAACUCAGGGAAACUUGAGCUAAUACCGGAUACGUGCGAGAGCAGAAAGAUUUAUCGCCGAAGGAUCGGCCCGCGUCCGAUUAGCUAGUUGGUGAGGUAACGGCUCACCAAGGCGACGAUCGGUAGCUGGUCUGAGAGGAUGAUCAGCCACACUGGGACUGAGACACGGCCCAGACUCCUACGGGAGGCAGCAGUGGGGAAUAUUGGACAAUGGGCGCAAGCCUGAUCCAGCCAUGCCGCGUGAGUGAUGAAGGCCCUAGGGUUGUAAAGCUCUUUCGCCAGGGACGAUAAUGACGGUACCUGGAUAAGAAGCCCCGGCUAACUUCGUGCCAGCAGCCGCCGUAA